rnacentral:rRNA from 1 species
GACGAACGCUGGCGGCGUGCCUAAUACAUGCAAGUAGAACGCACAGUUUAUACCGUAGCUUGCUACACCAUAGACUGUGAGUUGCGAACGGGUGAGUAACGCGUAGGUAACCUGCCUGGUAGCGGGGGAUAACUAUUGGAAACGAUAGCUAAUACCGCAUAAUAUUAAUUAUUGCAUGAUAAUUAAUUGAAAGGUGCAAUUGCACCACUACCAGAUGGACCUGCGUUGUAUUAGCUAGUAGGUGAGGUAACGGCGCACCUAGGCGACGAUACAUAGCCGACCUGAGAGGGUGAUCGGCCACACUGGGACUGAGACACGGCCCAGACUCCUACGGGAGGCAGCAGUAGGGAAUCUUCGGCAAUGGACGAAAGUCUGACCGAGCAACGCCGCGUGAGUGAAGAAGGUUUUCGGAUCGUAAAGCUCUGUUGUAAGAGAAGAACGGGUGUGAGAGUGGAAAGUUCACACUGUGACGGUAUCUUACCAGAAAGGGACGGCUAACUACGUG